rnacentral:rRNA from 1 species
CUUUAUUGGAGAGUUUGAUCCUGGCUCAGGACGAACGCUGGCGGCAUGCCUAAUACAUGCAAGUCGAGCGGAGUUGAUAGGAAGCUUGCUUCCUUGAUACUUAGCGGCGGACGGGUGAGUAACACGUAGGCAACCUGCCCUCAAGUUUGGGACAACUACCGGAAACGGUAGCUAAUACCGAAUAAUUGUUUUCUUCGCCUGAAGGAAACUGGAAAGACGGAGCAAUCUGUCACUUGGGGAUGGGCCUGCGGCGCAUUAGCUAGUUGGUGAGGUAACGGCUCACCAAGGCGAC